CAGACAGAGCAGAUGGCGAAGUGUAGCCGGAACCCCUGGUGUGAGUGAAGUGAGAUCCAUUGCAAGGAGGAGUCUGGAGGUGGCUCUGAGGACCUGCAGGGGGACAGAAGCCAGGUGAGGCCUUCCCAACCUCCCCUUGCCACUGAGGUGCAGGCUGUGCCAGCCAGAGGCCCCGUGCCAGACUCUGAAUCUGUAGCAGGCAUCAAGACGAAGGCACCCUGGGAGGGUGGUGACAGCCAAAUCCUGUUUCCAGAGGCUUAGGGGGGUGAGCCCUUAGCGCCACCACCCAGGGCCCAAAUCAGUGGCAUUGGCAAACAGUGGUGUCAGUGCCCAGGAUGGCUCUGCCAGGCUGGCUUGGCUGUGACCUUUGGGACAUUAUUCCUGGCUAACUCUCUGGCCCUGCUGGAGAUACUAUGAGCUACAGAAUAGUUUUAAUAAAUUAUUUUCCAGCCUAAA